rnacentral:rRNA from 1 species
CAGCCGUAAACAAUGUGCGUUAGGUGUGUCGGUAACCACGCGUUACUGAUGCGCCGAAGAGAAAUCGUGAAACGCACCACCUGGGAAGUACGGUCGCAAGGCUGAAACUUAAAGGAAUUGGCGGGGGUGCACCACAACAGGUGGAGCCUGCGGUUUAAUUGGAUUCAACGCCGGACAUCUCACCGGAUAAGACAGCUGAAUGAUUGUCAAUCUGAAGGUUUUACAUGACUAGCUGAGAGGAGGUGCAUGGCGUCAGUGACU